AAAACGAGGAGCACCGACGUUCGUUACAAGGCCGCAAGUAGGUUCGGAACGUGAAAAAAAAUCAAAAAAAAUUUCGAGUUGUAAUUUAAUUUUUUUUCCUUCCUUGUAUUUACCUUACUAUUGUAUUGGAGUAUCACAAAAAAAAUCAAAAUUCGAAAAAAAAUUCGAAAAAAAAAGAAAAAAAGAAGUGAGCAAAAAAAAAGAGUAAAAAAAGAAGAAAAAAAAAGAAGUGAAAAGUCUUGCGAGUUUUAUUUUCAUCUCUUAUUACUCCGAUCAUCAAGUUUCCCUUCCUACAAUUAUUUAUCCAUCCCAACGCCACACUUUAAACCAAUUUUUUUCUUUGUUCAGCCUACCUUACACCUGACAUU
rnacentral:lncRNA from 1 species